rnacentral:rRNA from 1 species
AGGGCGUAUGGGGAAUGCCUAGGCACACUCCGGCGAAGAAGGACGCAGCAAACAGCGAAAUGCGACGGUGAGCGGUAAGCACGUGAAGAGCCGUCGAUAUCCGAAUGGGGGAACCCACACGGAGUCAUAUCCGUGUAUCACAUGUCGAAUACAUAGACAUGAUGAGGCGAGACGCAGGGAACUGAAACAUCUAAGUACCUGCAGGAAGAGAAAAUAAGAAUGAUUUUCUGAGUAGCGGCGAGCGAAAGGGAAAGAGCCCAAACCGAUCUUAGGAUCGGGGUAGUAGGAUCAUCGAUAAAUCUGACAGAGGAUCAUAGAGGAAUCACAUGGGAAGGUGAGCGAGAGAGGGUGAGAGCCCCGUACUCGAAAUGAGAGACUGGAGAGAGAUGACACCUGAGUAGGGCGGGACACGAGAAAUCCUGUCUGAAUCAGCCGGGACCAUCCGGCAAGGCUAAAUACGAGAGAGUGACCGAUAGUGAACCAGUACCGUGAGGGAAAGGUGAAAAGAACCCCGGGAGGGGAGUGAAAGAGAACCUGAAACCAUAUGCCUACAAGAAGUCAGAGCCCGUUAAAGGGUGAUGGCGUGCCUUUUGUAGAAUGAACCGGCGAGUUACUGUAUGGAGCGAGGUUAAGCAGGAUAUGCGGAGCCGAAGCGAAAGCGAGUCUUAAGAGGGCGAGAGUUGCAUGCAGUAGACCCGAAACCGGGUGAUCUAGCCAUGACCAGGUUGAAGUUGGGGUAAAACCCGAUGGAGGACCGAACCGACCCCCGUUGAAACGUUGGCGGAUGAGUUGUGGCUAGGGGUGAAAUUCCAAUCGAACCCGGAGAUAGCUGGUUCUCCCCGAAAUAGCUUUAGGGCUAGCGUCGAGGUAAGUUGCGUGAAGGUAGAGCACUGAAUAUGUGAUGGCCCCAUCUCGGGGUACUGAGUAUAAUCAAACUGCGAAUGUCACGCCAACAUGCUCGGCAGUCAGACAGCGGGUGAUAAGGUCCGUUGUCAAGAGGGAAACAGCCCAGACCAUCAGCUAAGGUCCCAAAAUGUAUGCUAAGUGGAAAAGGAUGUGGAGAUGUACAGACAACUAGGAGGUUGGCUCAGAAGCAGCCAUCCUUUAAAGAGUGCGUAACAGCUCACUAGUCGAAUGACUCUGCGCCGAUAAUUUACCGGGGCUAAGCAUACUACCGAAGCUAUGGAUCCCAAGGGAUGGUAGGGGAGCGUUCCAUGAACGGAGAAGUACGACCGAAAGGACGUGUGGAGAUCAUGGAAGAGAGAAUGCCGGUGUGAGUAGCGAGAUGUAGGUGAGAAUCCUACACACCGAAAGCCCAAGGAUUCCAGGGGAAGGUUCGUCCGCCCUGGGUAAGUCGGGACCUAAGGCGAGGCCGAAAGGCGUAGUGGAUGGAAAGCAGGCGAAAGAUUCCUGCACCCGUAUAUGGAGCGAAGGAGUGACGGAGACGGAUAGUGUGACCCUCUUAAUGGAUUGAGGGCGAAGCGAAGCGGCUGGUUACCAGGCAAAUCCGGUAACCAAAAGGCUAGAGCGUGACAGGUAAGCGAAAUCUUAGGAAAGUAGCGAAGCACAUGAUGACGGCUUCCAGGAAAAGCUUCUGGCAAUGCAUAUGCGGCCCGUACCAAAACCGACACAGGUGGGCAGGGAGAGAAUCCCGAGGUGAGCGAGAGAACUGUUGCCAAGGAACUCGGCAAAAUGACUCCGUAAGUUAGCGAGAAGGAGUGCUUAAGCAAUUAAGCCGCAGUGAAGAGGCCCAAGCGACUGUUUAACUAAAACACAGCUCUCUGCGAAGUCGCAAGACGAAGUAUAGGGGGUGACACCUGCCCGGUGCUGGAAGGUUAAGAGGAUCUGUUAAGAGCGAUCUGAAGCAGUGAUCCGAAGCCCCAGUGAACGGCGGCCGUAACUAUAACGGUCCUAAGGUAGCGAAAUUCCUUGUCAGGUAAGUUCUGACCCGCACGAAAGGUGUAACGAUUUGGGCGCUGUCUCGGCAGCAGACUCGGUGAAAUCUUAGUACCUGUGAAAAUGCAGGUUACCCGCAACUAGACGGAAAGACCCCAUGGAGCUUUACUGCAGCCUGAUAUUGAAUUCUGGUCAUACAUGUACAGGAUAGGUGGGAGACAAAGAGACGUGCACGCCAGUGUACGAGGAGUCGUCGUUGGGAUACCACUCUUGUGUGACCGGGGUUCUAACCUGGUAUCGAGAACAGGUACGGGGAGAGUGUCAGGUGGGCAGUUUGACUGGGGCGGUCGCCUCCCAAAGAGUAACGGAGGCGCCCAAAGGUUCCCUCAGCGCGGCCGGAAAUCGCGCGAAGAGUGUAAAGGCAGAAGGGAGCUUGACUGAGAGCCAAACACGGCGAUCAGGUACGAAAGUAGGGCUUAGUGAUCCGGUGGCAUCCGAGUGGAAGGGCCAUCGCUCAACGGAUAAAAGCUACCCUGGGGAUAACAGGCUAAUCUCUCCCAAGAGUCCAUAUCGACGGGGAGGUUUGGCACCUCGAUGUCGGCUCAUCACAUCCUGGGGCUGAAGUAGGUCCCAAGGGUAUGGCUGUUCGCCAUUUAAAGUGGUACGCGAGCUGGGUUUAGAACGUCGUGAGACAGUUCGGUCCCUAUCUGCCGUGGGCGUUGGAGAAUUGGUUGGGGCUGCUCCUAGUACGAGAGGACCGGAGUGGACGCACCACUGGUGUUCCGGUUGUGUCGCCAGACGCAUUGCCGGGUAGCUAAGUGCGGAAGAGAUAAGUGCUGAAAGCAUCUAAGCACGAAACUUGCCAAGAGAUGAGUUCUCCCUGUCUUUAAGACAGUAAGGGUUGU